CAGGGCCCUCUGCUGGCUGGCUACCCAAACCACAGCCAGCUAAUACCACCAGGGUUCACCAGUCUCAGGGCUCUGGCAGGAACAUGCAAAGGAAACUCUCGAGCAGCAUCCCCCCUAUAAGGCCUUUCAAACCACAGCUUACAUAUUCCAGGCCCCGCUCAAAAUCAACUCCUGAUUCAAGUGGUGGGUACAGCUGUUUCCAUGUGGUGAAACCCUACAAAGCUGGACACUACAUCAUCCACCCUGAGUUCAUGUCAGAGUGGCUGCACUAAUCCCUGCACUAAGGAGUGUUGGCCUUACUGAUGUAACCUCAUUUAUGUCAUUUGAUCUUCUACCAACUAAUGAAGGCGAUCAUGUCAUCAAAAAUA